GACGAACGCUGGCGGCGUGCUUAACACAUGCAAGUCGAACGAUGAAGCAAAGAAUUGCAGCUUCGGCAGAAAUUCAUUUCGGAUUAGUGGCAGACGGGUGAGUAACGCGUGAGCAACCUACCUCUUACAAAGGGAUAGCCUCGGGAAACCGGGAUUAAUACCAUAUAACAUUGCGACGAAGCAUUUCGAUGCAAUCAAAGCUACGGCGGUAAGAGAUGGGCUCGCGUCCCAUUAACCAGAUGGUGAGGUAACGGCUCACCAUAGUAACGAUGGGUAACCGGACUGAGAGGGUGAACGGUCACACUGGAACUGAGACACGGUCCAGACUCCUACGGGAGGCAGCAGUGGGGAAUAUUGCACAAUGGAGGGAAAUCUGAUGCAGCGACGCCGCGUGAGUGAUGAAGGAAUUCGUUUCGUAAAACUCUGUUCUAUGGGAAGAAAAGGACUGUACCAUAGGAGAAAGCUCCGGCUAAAUACGUG
rnacentral:rRNA from 1 species